rnacentral:rRNA from 1 species
UACGUAGGCAGCGAGCGUUGUUCGGAGUUACUGGGCGUAAAGGGUGUGUAGGCGGUUGUUUAAGUUUGGUGUGAAAUCUCCCGGCUCAACUGGGAGGGUGCGCCGAAUACUGAAUGACUUCGAGUGCGGGAGAGGAAAGUGGAAUUCCUGGUGUAGCGGUGAAAUGCGUAGAUAUCUGGAGGAACACCGGUGGCGAAGGCGGCAUCCUGGACCAUACUGACGCUGAGGAGCGAAAGCCAGGGAGCCAACGGG